AUUGAACGCUGGCGGCAGGCUUAACACAUGCAAGUCGAGCGGGGUGAUGGUGCUUGCACUAUCACUUAGCGGCGGACGGGUGAGUAAUGCUUAGGAAUCUGCCUAUUAGUGGGGGACAACAUCUCGAAAGGGAUGCUAAUACCGCAUACGUCCUACGGGAGAGAGCAGGGGAUCACUUGUGACCUUGCGCUAAUAGAUGAACCUAAGUCGGAUUAGCUAGUUGGUGGGGUAAAGGCCUACCAAGGCGACGAUCUGUAGCGGGUCUGAGAGGAUGAUCCGUCACACUGGGACUGAGACACGGCCCAGACUCCUACGGGAGGCAGCAGUGGGGAAUAGUGGACAAUGGGGGGAACCCUGAUCGAGCCAUGCCGCGUGUGUGAAGAAGGCCUUAUGGUUGUAAAGCACUUUAAGCGAGGAGGAGGCUCUUUUGGUUAAUACCCAAGAUGAGUGGACGUUACUCGCAGAAUAAGCACCGGCUAACUCUGUGCCAGCCGCCGCGGUAA
rnacentral:rRNA from 1 species